UUCAAUUGGCUGUUAAAAAAUUAUAUUUCAGGCCACCUCGGUAUUGGAACCAUCUAUCUUAAUCACUACAGAAGGAAGUCGGUAUAUAAUUAAAAAUACUUCUGCUCGCCUGUCUCCAGGGUGACCUGCAGUCGACAGCAUCAGUUCAGGCCAUCGCCAGGCAGGUCUGUGAGCAGCUGAUUCAGAGCCACAUGGCACGCUACAACUCCAUCCUGAACCACGCGCCCAGUCCGCCAGUGUCCAUCCGCACUGUGCCAGGACCCCCUGGAGAGCCUGGCAGACAGGGAAGUCCAGGGCCACAGGGAGAACAGGGUCCCCCAGGAAGACCCGGCUUCCCAGGACAGAAUGGCCAGAACGGACAGCCGGGAGAGAGAGGUCAGCCAGGAGAAAAGGGUGAGAAAGGAUCUCAAGGUGUUGGAGUCCAAGGCCCCAGAGGACCCUCAGGACCCCCUGGUCCCCAAGGGCAGGGCAGACCUGGCAGCCAGGGUCCCUCAGGGCGACCUGGAAAUCCUGGAGCCCCUGGUCGGCCUGGGGUCCCUGGACCCGUCGGUUCUGCUGGGCCUCCAGGCUACUGUGACCAGAAUGCCUGUAUGGGCUACAAUGUUGGAGAGGGUGAAGAUGUCAUUGACCGCGGCGCUAUCCCCCCAGUCCAAUUGCCGCCCACCGUCUUCCAGAACUACGGCGAGGUUGAGGAGGAUGAUCCCUACCGCUACUACGAGCCCAAUUAUCCGGCACCGCGGCCCGUGGCGCCUGACGACCCAGCGUUGGACAACAUCGAGCUGAGUUCCCCUGGCAUCCACCGCAGCGCCCGGAGCCUGAAGAAAGACGAAGAGAUAGUCGGGCCGAAGAGGAGACUAAAGAAAGGAGCGAAGGCGCUGCCUGGACUAAUUAAAUGAGAGAAGGUGAUUGGAGGACGGAGGGCCGCUCGCUGUUUCCGAUUGGGCGGUUACGGACUAAUCAACAAGUGCCUGAUGUAGAGGAUUUCUUAUGGACAUUGUAGAGGGGAUGGGGUGGGGCUAUCAGGUUGGGACUAUUUUAACUCAUCUAUGCUAUUGAAUUAACUUCAAAAAAGUUUAUGUUGUUUAAUUUGUUUUUGUCAUUUUUGUCUCAGUUGAGACAGUCAUCUUAAAAUGGAUUCAGCUUAACUGGAUUUUAUAUUUCACCGUCCCACAGCGUCUCUCUUUUAACAGGUUAACUGUUUCGGUGAUAAACGUUUCUCAGAUAUUUUGUCAACAGAUUGAUUGGAGAAAAGUAGCCGGCCCUGUUUUCAGGUUUCACUUCUGCUGUUUGUUAUUUUCCUGGUUGGUUAAGUGCCUCCUAAUCGUCUGGAACAAAUUUCAAAAUGCAGAAAUACAAACACACCACAACAUUUAGACAUGUGCAGCAACCUAUCAAGCAACACUGUCACUCUUCAUGUUUCUACAUCUUUAAUGUUGUAUCACAACCUUUUAAUUUUUGGACUGCAGAGGUCUCAGAUAACAUCAUGUGCAAGCACAGCAGUAUUACAGUGGCUGCAAGUCAGACACGACAUCAUAAGAUAAACACAAACCACCUGUGAGAUUACUGCUGUGAACAGCAUGAAAGGUUUACAGUGUUUCAAAGUGAUGAGACUUUAUAUGUGCUUAUAAGUGUGAACUUUAGGUUAAUUACUUGACAACGUGACAUGACAUGACAUGACAUGACAUGACAACGUCAGAGUCCAACAGUUAGGGCACCUGUCAUCCAAGGUUUAUCCUCCUGAGACCCGAACUUUUGUUUGGUGUGCUUUUUUAAUUUCUCCUAGCUAUCAGGGAUCAGUAGGACCCGAUAAGUAUAAAAAAAACUAAACAUUGUCAACGAUAAUUAAGUCCCAGUGUCCUCAAACUAUUCCUUUCCAAUUAAAAGUGUCUUAUUUUGUUACUGUUGCUAAAAUUGGUCACAUUUGUUGCCAUAUCAAACUACAAACAUUAUAAAUCAUAAAUAAACAAGUUUCAACCAUAAAAUGUGAUCAGGUUUUGGACCUUGUCCACUUUUGUGUAGGGAUCGGCCGCAGAUUGACUUGGCAGAGAUGGCUGCCAUCUUGUUUUUACAUGGAUUAGUGUAUUGUGCUCUUACUACCACUAGAUGGCACAAAAAGUGUCCACAAACAAGGACAACAGGUUUAAGUUCAGUAGAAUAAAGUGUAAGGUUAAGUAAACCCAAAAUGUGAUGUCCUCAUAUGAGGAUACAGGGUCUCAGGAGGAUAUUUAGAAGAAUACGUCACCCACAAAAUGACCAUUUGUAUCAGUUGCUCACCACAUGUUAUAUUGAAUUCAUGAAAAAUACAUUUUUCUCGCAUGCCUCCACGGUAAACGGAGAAAACAAAACAGAAGAUCAUCCUUCAUGAAUUGAAGUAAAUGGGUCGACAUUUAACAAAAACAAAACUAUGUUAAAACACCCCUUUUCAAACUCUCACACAGCUCAAUAGUAGUGCAGUAUAAUCCAAGUCUCAUUUAUUCAGUUGUAUUCUCAGUACUUCGCAAACACGUGCAUUUUCACUAAAACAUUAUGAUUGAAAGCACAUCACUACCAACUGUCUCACGCACAGACAGGAAGCACACCUUGCACCUGCGCUUGCUCAAGCUACUCGUAGGCAGAAGUGUUUUAUGUUGUAACGUUUUCACAGAAAUGCAUGUGUUUGCGAAGUGCUGAGAAUACAGUUGGAUAAAUGAGACAUGGAUUAUAUUGCAUCAUUGUGUAAGAGUUAUGAUAUUGUGUUGUUGUUGAAUGUCAUCCCUGAUUACUUCAGUUCAUAAAGAAUUAGGGCUGCCCCCGACAAAGACUUUUCCUAGUUGACCAAUAGUCAUCAUUAAGGGGCAUUAGUCAACUAGCUGCCUGCAUAUUUAAGAUAUAAAUUUAGUUAUUAAACUAUAUAUUUUUGGCGGGGCAACACAAUGGUUUGAGUGUGAGAAAGAAUAGUAUCAGUAACAUUGUUAACACUGUGCUACAUUACAGAGAAAUACAAAACCGUACUAAUGAACCUUCAUUAAUAUAGGCCUAUAUUUUAUCUACAAGUGCACGUCACACACUGAGCGAGCCG